GCAAUAACUCUAUUGCUAAAUAAGGUCACAUUCUGAGCUACUAGAAUUUAGGAUUUCAACAUCUUUUGAGGAGGACUCAAUUUAACCCAUAAGAAUACUAUGUGGGCCACACAUGGUGCUUCACAUCUGUUAUCCCAGCACUUUGGGAGGUUGAAGCAGGAGGAUCAUUGCUCAGGGCCUAGGGGGACACCAGGUGCAUAAGACCACGGUGUUGACUGGUGUUGGGGGCUCACACCUGUAAGUUUGGCAAGCUAAGGCAGGGCGAUCACUUGAGCCCAGGAGUAUGUAGCCAGCCUGGGUGACAUAGUGAGAUCUCAUUAAAAAAAAAAAUUAAUUAGCUAGGCAUGGUGCUACUCGCCUACAGUCCCAGCUACUCAGGAGGCUGAAGCAGGAGGGUCGCUUGAGUCCAGAAGAUCAAGGCUGUGGCGAGCUGUGAUUGCACCACUGCACUCCAGCCUGGGCAAUAGAGCAAGCCCUGUCUCAAAAAAAAAAAAAAAAAAAAAAAAAAAAAAUCAUCUCCCUUGUCUUCUGAUUCCAGGAGCUGUCAUAGAAAGGAAGUGAAGCAGUAAAAGCAUCCCCCCGAAAGGGACAUUUCAAAACCAGCCUAAGAAACAUAGUAAGACCUUGCCUCUAGGAAGUAUUUAAAUUUGAAGGAAAAAAAAAAAAAGCAGUACUAUGGCACAGAGUUGACAGCUACAGGUGUGGCUACAUCCAGGUCCUCAAACUAUAUCAUCAGAAUGACCCCUCACCCUCCCCCCGCUUUCCAUUUUACUUUCUUAAGCAUGAACAUGAAAUUUCCAAGAUUGUCUUUCCUUUGGCUAAUCUGCUUCUCAGGCCCAAUCACUGUGGCCAGGGUGGUGGAAGGAUAUUGACAUCCAGGCUGGGACCACAUGCCCCAGCCCCAGAUCAGGGUGGGGAGUGGCUAGUCACACACAUGCCGUGGGGUACUAGUGACUCCUCGGUGGAAAAUCGGGAACUGUCAUUGGAGAGGAGCGAUGGAAGAAAGACUGACACACUGCAAUGUAUCUCCGGCACCAGCCUGGGCCUCGAUGUCUUGAGAAUGGCGGUUUGCAAUCUGAUGAGCCAGUACUCAGUCCAGGGCAAUCCCUACUCCAUCUGUGGGGCUGCCCACAGUACAUGGACCCCCUCACUGGAUUUGCUGACCACACGUGCAAACAGCCACCUCCCAGCCCCACUUCCCGCAGUCCCACUGAACCCUGUCGAAAUUCCCCUCAGUUCUCACCAAGAAUAAAAGCAAUUCUGAGGGUGAGCGGCUCAUUCUGCUAGUUUAAAUCUCUCGAUUCCUUCCCUCUGCAGAACUCUGUACUUACUGCUCCAUCACUGGU
rnacentral:lncRNA from 1 species